AAACUCCGCAAUGCGCGCAAGCGUGACGGGGGGAUUCUGAGUGCUUCGGUCUCACCGAGGCUUUUCGUGAGGGUUCAUACCUCGCGGAAUAGGUGGUGGGCAAGACUGGUGCCAGCCGCCGCGGUAACCCCAGCGCCACAAGUGGGAACCACGUUUAUUGGGUCUAAAGCAUCCGUAGCCGGCUUGUUAAAUGCCCUGUGAAAUCGUUCUGCCUAACAGGACGGCGUGCAGGGUAGACUGGCAAGCUAGGAACCAGGAAAGGUAUGCGGUAUUCUGUGGGGAACGGUAAAAUGUUAUAAUCCACAGAGGACCACCGAUGGCGAAGGCAGCAUACUUGAAUGGAUUCGACGGUGAGGGAUGAAAGCCAGGGGAGCGAUCCGGAUUAGAUACCCGAGUAGUCCUGGCCGUAAACGCUGCGUGCCAGAUGUUGCACAAUCCUCGCGAUUGUGCAGUGUCGCAACGAAGGUGUUAAGCACGCCACCUGGGAAGUACGGUCGCAAGUCUGAAACUUAA
rnacentral:rRNA from 1 species